GGCCGGUUCUGGAGCGUGAUACAGACGCCGAACGGACAGAACCUCCCCUGUCCGCCCAAGGCUCAACAACAGGUACAAAUAGAGUAUAGAAAUUUCAUAAGCGAAAGCAUACACAAUGGCUUGCACGAGGGCAAGCAAUAGCCAAGAGUGAAAGUAAACAACUACACCUAUAGAAUCUAUUACAACUUUGCAUCAUUUCUUUUUACAUCUCAUUUCACCCAAAAUAUAACUUUUGACAUUUAAAGUAAAUAUCCCUUACAUCAUUCAUUAAAGUAAGUUCGUCAUCGAGGUACAAAAGAUGAUAUAAUAAAGGGUAUGCAACUAAGGUAAAUGAACAACUCGGGCGGUCUCUAUCUAGGGCGCGAUGCCCUUACCGCGAUCGUCCGCCGGCUCGCUGGGU
rnacentral:lncRNA from 1 species